rnacentral:rRNA from 1 species
UACGUAGGGUGCAAGCGUUAAUCGGAAUUACUGGGCGUAAAGCGUGCGCAGGCGGUUAUGUAAGACCGAUGUGAAAUCCCCGGGCUUAACCUGGGAACUGCAUUGGUGACUGCAUCGCUCGAGUAUGGCAGAGGGGGGUAGAAUUCCACGUGUAGCAGUGAAAUGCGUAGAGAUGUGGCGGAAUACCGAUGGCGAAGGCAGUCUGCUGGGCAGUUUCUGACACUGAUGCGCGACAGCGUGGGGAGCAAACAGG